AUUGAACGCUGGCGGCAUGCUUUACACAUGCAAGUCGAACGGUAACAGCACUUCGGUGGCUGACGAGUGGCGAACGGGUGAGUAAUACAUCGGAACGUGCCUAGUAGUGGGGGAUAACUACUCGAAAGAGUAGCUAAUACCGCAUGAGAUCUAAGGAUGAAAGCAGGGGACCUUCGGGCCUUGCGCUACUAGAGCGGCUGAUGGCAGAUUAGGUAGUUGGUGGGAUAAAAGCUUACCAAGCCGACGAUCUGUAGCUGGUCUGAGAGGACGACCAGCCACACUGGGACUGAGACACGGCCCAGACUCCUACGGGAGGCAGCAGUGGGGAAUUUUGGACAAUGGGCGGAAGCCUGAUCCAGCAAUGCCGCGUGCAGGAUGAAGGCCUUCGGGUUGUAAACUGCUUUUGUACGGAACGAAAAGCCCUCUUCUAAUACAGGAGGGUCAUGACGGUACCGUAAGAAUAAGCACCGGCUAACUACGUG
rnacentral:rRNA from 1 species